rnacentral:rRNA from 1 species
GAUGAACGCUAGCGGCAGGCUUAACACAUGCAAGUCGAGGGGUAACAGGGAGUGCUUGCACUCCGCUGACGACCGGCGCACGGGUGCGUAACGCGUAUGCAACCUACCUUUCACAGGGGGAUAGUCAAGAGAAAUUUUGAAUAAUACCCCAUACGUUCUUAAGACAGCAUUUUCUUGAGAAGAAAAUUUCGGUGGUGAAAGAUGGGCAUGCGUCCUAUUAGUUAGUAGGUGAGGUAACGGCUCACCUAGGCAACGAUAGGUAGGGGUCCUGAGAGGGAGAUCCCCCACACUGGUACUGAGACACGGACCAGACUCCUACGGGAGGCAGCAGUGAGGAAUAUUGGACAAUGGAGGCAACUCUGAUCCAGCCAUGCCGCGUGCAGGAAGACUGCCCUAUGGGUUGUAAACUGCUUUUAUACAGGAAGAAACACUCCCUCGUGAGGGAGCUUGACGGUACUGUACGAAUAAGGAUCGGCUAACUCCGUGCCAGCCGCCGCCGUAACAC